AUUGAACGCUGGCGGCAUGCUUUACACAUGCAAGUCGAACGGUAACAGGCCGCAAGGUGCUGACGAGUGGCGAACGGGUGAGUAAUGCAUCGGAACGUGCCCAGUCGUGGGGGAUAACGCAGCGAAAGCUGCGCUAAUACCGCAUACGAUCUAUGGAUGAAAGCGGGGGACCGUAAGGCCUCGUGCGAUUGGAGCGGCCGAUGUCAGAUUAGGUAGUUGGUGGGGUAAAGGCUCACCAAGCCAACGAUCUGUAGCUGGUCUGAGAGGACGACCAGCCACACUGGGACUGAGACACGGCCCAGACUCCUACGGGAGGCAACAGUGGGGAAUUUUGGACAAUGGGGGCAACCCUGAUCCAGCAAUGCCGCGUGCAGGAAGAAGGCCUUCGGGUUGUAAACUGCUUUUGUACGGAACGAAACGGUCUGGGUUAAUACCCUGGGCUAAUGACGGUACCGUAAGAAUAAGCACCGGCUAACUACGUGCCAGCAGCCGCGGUAACAC
rnacentral:rRNA from 1 species